UACGAAGGGGGCUAGCGUUGCUCGGAAUGACUGGGCGUAAAGGGCGCGUAGGCGGCUUGCACAGUCAGGCGUGAAAUUCCUGGGCUCAACCUGGGGACUGCGCUUGAGACGUGUGGGCUUGAGUGGGGAAGAGGGUCGUGGAAUUCCCAGUGUAGAGGUGAAAUUCGUAGAUAUUGGGAAGGAACACCAGGUGGCGAAGGCGGCGACCUGGUC
rnacentral:rRNA from 1 species